CUGUCCUCUGACAGCCCAACACACGCCCUGGCCACGCCCCCAACCACAUGCACUCACCUGAUUUGUCCGCAGUUCAAGAUGGCUCCCGACUCCAGUUUCAAAAAUGUCAGUGUCUCAACAGACAAGAGACAGACAACUGCGACCAAAUCAAGUCAGACAGAGGCUUUAAAAAUAAGUAAUCCGAGGCUGUUUAACCCCUCAGGCUGUAUUUUAUGAGUUCUCUUUGCUGGAUAGAUUUUUCUGUCACGGAUCAUUUAAAUAUAAACCAAACAAUAAAUAAUACAUCCACUUCUGUGCUCCUGCCCUGCCGACGUGUCACCUGAAGCUGAUGACGUCACAGAUACAAAAUCUUCCGUAAGUUUUAGAAUUAUUCAAAAACCUAAAAUUAAGCAAAACUAAUAACAGUGCUCCUUUUAAAGAAGUUAAAAUAAAUGUAAAUAUAUUUGUCCAGUGAAAGCAACAAAAGAAAACCUGUUCCUGCUUCUGCUGUGUGCCACAUUUCCAUCUCCUGAUCUCUCUUGCUGUGGGGCAAUUUGUGUUGGAGCCUGCCUACUUGGGAGGAAACAAGGACAUUUUUUUUGUGGGGAAGGGAUUUAUGUUUAUUUUUGAAUGGACAUUUACAAAAUACAAAAAACUGUGGAACAAACAAUUCUUUUGUUGGUGUUAUGUGUAAAACAAUUGUCAUUCAUUGUACUUAAGGGUCUACACCUUGAAGUGUAUGGUCCUUGUGUGACUGGUAAAAAAA